UACGUAGGUGGCGAGCGUUGUCCGGAUUUACUGGGCGUAAAGGGAGCGUAGGCGGACUUUUAAGUGAGAUGUGAAAUACCCGGGCUCAACUUGGGUGCUGCAUUUCAAACUGGAAGUCUAGAGUGCAGGAGAGGAGAAUGGAAUUCCUAGUGUAGCGGUGAAAUGCGUAGAGAUUAGGAAGAACACCAGUGGCGAAGGCGAUUCUCUGGACUGUAACUGACGCUGAGGCGCGAAAGCGUGGGGAGCAAACAGGAUUAGAUACCCCCGUA
rnacentral:rRNA from 1 species